rnacentral:rRNA from 1 species
CACGUAGGGCGCAAGCGUUGUCCGGAAUUAUUGGGCGUAAAGAGCUCGUAGGCGGCUCGUCGCGUCGACCGUGAAAACCCGCGGCUUAACUGCGGGCUUGCGGUUGAUACGGGCGGGCUAGAGUUCGGUAGGGGAGACUGGAAUUCCUGGUGUAGCGGUGAAAUGCGCAGAUAUCUGGAGGAAUACCGGUGGCGAAGGCGGCAUCCUGGACCGACAUUGACGCUGAUGAGCGAAAGCUAGGGGAGCAAACGGG